rnacentral:rRNA from 1 species
GUGAGGAAUAUUGCGCAAUGGAGGCAACUCUGACGCAGCCAUGCCGCGUGCAGGAAGAAGGCGCUACGCGUUGUAAACUGCUUUUAACCGGGAAGAAACCCCAGGACGUGUCCUGGGUUGACGGUACCGGAGGAAUAAGCACCGGCUAACUUCGUGCCAGCAGCCGCGGUAAUACGAAGGGUGCAAGCGUUAUCCGGAUUCAUUGGGUUUAAAGGGUGCGUAGGCGGAGCGUUAAGUCAGUGGUGAAAUCCUGCAGCUUAACUGUAGACUUGCCAUUGAUACUGGCGCUCUUGAGUGCGCUUGAAGUGGGCGGAAUGUGCCGUGUAGCGGUGAAAUGCUUAGAUAUGGCACAGAACACCAAUUGCGAAGGCAGCUCACUAAGGCGAUACUGACGCUGAGGCACGAAAGCGUGGGGAUCGAACAGGAUUAGAAACCCGUGUAGUC